rnacentral:rRNA from 1 species
AUAUGCUUGUCCCGAAGAUUAAGCCAUGCAUGCUGCGAUUCUGCAAAAAUCUGCGAACAGCUCCGUAUAUCUGUUGUCACCAGUAAAGCCCCUAAGCGCCUUUUUGGCUUGGUCGGAUAGGCGCGGUAAUUCUGCUUGUAAUACGUGAGAAACCGCCGGCUUCGGGUCUGCAUCCUAGUAUUCUAGGCUGCCCGGUGUGUCGGUUGGUGUCCCGAGGCACCUGACCGCCCCUUUAUGGGGCCGAGGGAGUUCGAGGGACAGUACCUAAGGAUGCUUUGCACCCCUAGGCUUUGGGCUUCAGACCUAUCAACUGUUGGAGGCUGGGUAAGGGCCAGCCCCGGUGAUAACGGGUACAGAGGAUCAGGGUUCGGUCCUGGAGAGGUAGCCUGAGAGAUAGCUACUACUUCUAAGGAAGGCAGCAGGCGCGCAACGUUCCCAAUGGUUCACCACCCCGGUGGCCGAGGACGUUAAGGGAAAUAGCGAUACCCUGCCCCUAACGGGCGGGGUAAUCGCAAUGGGGGAGUUCUAAACCCCCCACCGAGUAACAAUUGGAGGACAAGUCUGGUGCCAGCACCCGCGGUAAUUCCAGCUCCAAUAGCAUCUAAUUGAGUUGUUGCAGUUAAAACGCUCGUAGUCCGAUGUGGCCACUCCGGCCUGACUUAGUAGGGGGUCCCGCGCGGUCGGUGCGAGCUGUAAAGCCCGCCGCUCCGCCUCGAUUCUUGAACGCCAGGCGCAGGCGGUAGCCAUAACAGGGCGGGGACCGCGCUCCGGCGCACCUCGCCCCUGUUUACUUUGAGGAAAUGUGAGCGCUCCAAGCAGCCCCCUGGGGGCCUGAAGCCUGCAGCAAAGAAUAAUACAAGACGACCCCCGCGGUCUGUCGGUAUUGUAUUGCAGGGUAAUGAUCAAUAGGGGAGAUCGGGGCCGGCCUGAUGGUGGGGGUAGGGGUGAAAUCCGAUGAUCCUCGCCAGCAGAACAAGAGCGAAAGCAGCCGGCUAGUACUCUUUCUUUGAUCAAGAACGAAAGUCUGGGGAUCGAAGAUGAUCAGAUACCAUCGUAGUCCAGACCCUAAAUUCUGCCGACCAUGGAUGGGCGUUAGUCCGUCCCGACCCUGCCCGCACCUUGUGGGAAACCAUCAAGUGUUUGGGCUCCGGGGGGAGUAUGGUCGCAAGACUGAAACUUAAAGGAAUUGACGGAAGAGCACACAAGGAGUGGAGCCUGCGGCUUAAUUUGACUCAACACGGGGAAACUCACGAGUGCAAGAGAGGGGUACGAAGCCCGGUAUGAAUUGCCAGGCUGAUUCCUUCAGUGGUGGUGCAUGGUCGUUCUUAGUUCGUGGAGUGAUUUGUCUGGUCUAUUCCGCUAACGAGCGAGAACCCGCUUUCUGGUGGUUGCCCGGUCGGCAUUGGUCGCUGCUUGUGGUCUCGCUGGCAUUGCCGUCUUCGGGCGGCUCUAAGACGGCUUGAUCCGGGCGGACCUUCUAACGUGCCGCUCCGGGAGCCCGCAAAGUGUUCCAGCGAUAAGCUGGGGCUCUGGGUCAAUAACAGGUCAGUGAUGCCCUUAGAUGUACUCGGCUGCACGCGCGCUACAAUGGGGGGGUCAACGGGUCUUCAGCUCCUAUCGGACGCGGAGAAUCCUCGUAACCCUCCCCUCAUCAGGGACUGCGGCAUGUAAUAUGCUGCGCGAACAUGGAAUUUCUAGUAGGCACGGUUCACCAGACCGUGCCGAUUC